rnacentral:lncRNA from 1 species
GGAUCAAACCUGUGUCCCAGGUAUUUUACAUUCCCAUUGUGAUUCUAGAGUUACACUGUCCAAUAUAUUAACCACUAGCCACGUGUGGCUAUGGAAAUGAACGAAAAUUAAAUAAAAAAUUCAGUCACACUAGUUAUAUUUCAACUGUUAGUAUCCGCAUAUGUCCAGUGGCUCUUGUACUGAACAGCACAGGUAGUGAACAUGUCCACUGAUGCAGAAAGCUCUGUUGAGUGGUGCUGCUCUAGAGGUAUAGAAUAUAUUUGAAUUGUUUGGGUCAGGCUUAGUUGUUCAUCUCUGCAGCAAAUUUUCAUGAAAUGCCUACCGUAUACCAGGUAUUGUGCUAGAGCUAGGUGAUAAAGAAAAGUUCCUGCCUCAGUGAACUUUUCAAUUUUAUGAAGGACAGAGAUAAAUUAACAGGUGGAUAAAAUAGGAUGCGAUAAGUGCUACUCUGGGAGAAGAAAUCUAAGAGGCUCUGAAUAUGUAUAAGAAAAAGUACCGAAGCGAAACCCAAGGUUUACCUCUAGGGAAAGGUCAAUAGAUGUCAGCUUGGUUAAGGUGGAGAGGGUGAAUGAAAGCGCAGUGUAAAAUGCCUGGACGUAAAAAAAAAGUUACAUUAGAGGGAUUGAAAGAUGUCCCUGGGGACCACAUGAUCUCUAAGUCUCAAAGGUCUCUUCAUUCAGUUUUUGUUCUUUGUUUUUUUCACUUUUAGGACCACACCUGCGGUAUAUGAAAGUUCCUAGGCUAGGGGUUGAAUCAGAGCUGUAGCUGUUGGCCUACGCCACAGCUGUGUCUGCGACCUUUACCACGGCUCAUGGUAAUGCCAGAUCCUUAACCCCCUGCGUGAGGCCUGGGAUCAAAACCGCAUCCUCAUGGAUACUAGUGAGGUUCAUUACCAGUGAGCCAUGGUGGGAACUCCGAGAGUCUUUCUUUUUAUGGUAUAUUUAAACUAUUUUAAAAACAGGCUUCUUCCUUUUCUGUAAAGAGAAAAAGGUCCCGGGUCCCUCCCACUAUUUGGGGAGCUUCUUACAUCUAUCUUAUAUCUGUAGACCCUACAGUUAGGGGAAGACAAGAAAAGGUGAAAGGAAAUUGGAGAAAAGAAGGACCAAAGCGCUGAAAAUGGCCAGAGCAAGUUUCAGAUAAAUAGGAUCGGUCAUACGUGAUGGGGAAUGACAGUACCCUUUAUCUAACUUGGAUUCCCUGUCUCUAAUAAAAAGUUCCGAUCAACCAUUUCAAAAGUUCAUGUCCCCAAGUGGUUAACAUGGUAUCAUGGAAUGUAUUUAUGUGAGAAUAUUUUUGAUAAGGUAUCUAAAAAUUGAAUUUCUAUCCUGAGUCACUUCAUUAGAAACCAUGAUAGAAUUUUCCACACUGUAUUUUGAUGAGUCUGUGCACUUACAGUGUAUGCAACCUGGAAGAAAUUUAAAUGCUAUCAUUUUAUUUUUUUUGUAAGGCAACAAACAGUCACUGUAAGAUCGAGACCUAAGGUUACACAGGGAGUCAGAGAUGGAGUAGAAUCAGGACACAAAAGAAUUGUGUCUUUACUCAACCCUCACCAAUUCCAGAGAUUAUUCUAUGUAUUAUACAAAAUACAUUGCACAUAAUAAAUCUCUCACAUUUUGUAAAUAUUUAGCAGUUGUUGAUUUAUGCCCUACUGGCAGCCAUCAUGUCUCUGUUCUGCAUUACGAAAGUCUGUUUAUGUCUGUGUCAACAUCAUCUGUUUUAGCAUGGAGGCUUCUGGAAGGCAGGGAUCAUGUCUUUAUUUUGCAUAAUGCUUAGCAUAGAGUUCUGUACAUGAAGCUUUAUUUUUAUUUGAUGAUGAUGAUUUUCUCUAUGUAUUUCUUCUCUUUCCUGUCUUCAGAUUGGUAAAAACUUCCGAUAACAGUUGAUCCAGUAGAACAUAGAAGUAGGAUUAACUGCUGAAUGCCUAGUCAGGCUGGGCAGCAGAAUGUCUCACACAGCAAUAUGAGGUCUUAUGCCACCACAAAGAGGUACCCUCUUGUGAAAAGAAGCCACCCAUGUUGGUUUUCAUGAAGGAGAAAUUUGGUGUCUAGUUUUACCACCAAGUACUUGUCAAAUAAACUUGGUAUGAAAUCAAGACUGAAUAUAGUAAACAGAAAAUUCAGAUAAACG